GACGAACGCUGGCGGCGUGCUUAACACAUGCAAGUCGAACGGAAAGGCCCUGCUUUUGUGGGGUGCUCGAGUGGCGAACGGGUGAGUAACACGUGAGUAACCUGCCCUUGACUUUGGGAUAACUUCAGGAAACUGGGGCUAAUACCGGAUAGGAGCUCCUGCUGCAUGGUGGGGGUUGGAAAGUUUCGGCGGUUGGGGAUGGACUCGCGGCUUAUCAGCUUGUUGGUGGGGUAGUGGCUUACCAAGGCUUUGACGGGUAGCCGGCCUGAGAGGGUGACCGGCCACAUUGGGACUGAGGUACGGCCCGGACUCCUACGGGAGGCAGCAGUGGGGAAUAUUGCACAAUGGGCGGAAGCCUGAUGCAGCAACGCCGCGUGCGGGAUGACGGCCUUCGGGUUGUAAACCGCUUUCGCCUGUGACGAAGCGUGAGUGACGGUAAUGGGUAAAGAAGCACCGGCUAACUACGU
rnacentral:rRNA from 1 species